rnacentral:rRNA from 1 species
UACGUAGGGGGCAAGCGUUGUCCGGAUUUAUUGGGCGUAAAGCGCAUGUAGGCGGCAGCGCAAGUCGGGCGUGAAAUCCCACGGCUCAACCGUGGAAGUGCACUCGAAACUGCGCAGCUAGAGUCCUGGAGAGGAAGGUGGAAUGCUUGGUGGUAGAGGUGAAAUUCGUAGAUAUUCGCAAGAACACCAGUAGCGAAGGCGGCUCACUGGCCCGAUACUGACGCUGAGGCACGAAAGCGUGGGGAGCAAACAGG